CAGUCGCCGCGGGAAUACGAAGGGGGCUAGCGUUGCUCGGAAUGACUGGGCGUAAAGGGCGCGUAGGCGGUUUGUACAGUCAGAUGUGAAAUUCCUGGGCUCAACCUGGGGACUGCAUUUGAUACGUAUGGACUUGAGUGGAGGAGAGGGUCGUGGAAUUUCCAGUGUAGAGGUAAAAUUCGUAGAUAUUGGAAAGAACACCGGUGGCGAAGGCGGCGACCUGGCCUUUAACUGACGCUGAGGCGCGAAAGCGUGGGGAGCAAACAGGAUUAGAUACCCCAGUAGUCCCUGUCUCUUAUAC
rnacentral:rRNA from 1 species